rnacentral:tRNA from 1 species
GUCACUUUGGCGGAGUGGUUAACGCGCUGCCCUGCUAAUGANCNGCAUUAGCUAGCCUAGGCAGUUCCUUCGGGAGCGUAGGUUCGAAUCCUACAGGUGACG